GCCGACAUAUUAAUUCUUUUUAAGAUAUAAUUCUGUACUUGACCAAAUUAAUUAGGAUAGUUAAUUUCAUUCAUAUAGUGUAUAUGUCCAUCAAUCAUCCAUGGAAUAAUGAGAUGAUAACAUAUAUUCUUAAGAGUUAAAAAUUUGAGGCAUGUGUUAUUGAUGGUUAAUUUUUAAAUUAUCUUUGAUCGUAGAAUCAUCAUAAGGACAGUAAUUGAUCCAGUAAGAUUAGUGCACGAUCACUUUUCUAAGGAUAGAUGAGUCUUAAGUUUACAAUGUGGGGAUGCU
rnacentral:lncRNA from 1 species